GUUUAUAAGUCGUAACAAAUAUUUAUUUUGUACUAGUAUAUAAUUUUGUAAUGACGUGUUUUUACUUCAUUGUUUUCCUCGUCUUGUCUCCUUUGUCUAAACAGAGAACAUGGAAAUGCCUAUUUUCUUCCUAAAUCUUCUCUAUACAACAUAGUACAUAUAACAAUGCAUCGAGAAAUUUUUGUUAAAUUUUUUCACCGGUACAAUAAAAAAUCACCAAUAGAAUAAAAAAAUCACCAAAUGGCUACUUUAUUCUAUCGAAUUUUUGAAUAUGGCCAAUUUUUCAGUGGCUCAGAUUAUUUAUGUAGGUACAUGGAGAGUAAAGUUACAAUAGUUAUUAAAGAAAUAAGUCCUUUGUAAUGGAAAAGCUGCUAUGACACUUAAAAAAUUUGUAAAUGUUGACGCAGAUGUUUAAAAAAACAGGAUUUGGCUUUGACAGACACAAAUGAAUAACAAACAAAAUAACAAAAUGUUACUUUCCAAAAUAAUUAUUUUAAGUAGGCAAAAAAAACAUUAUGCUCAAAAAAACGUACUCUAUGGGUUAAACGUUAGUGGUACUGGGCAUACACUGACUGGAAAAACAUAAUAUUAAGUGAUAAAUCUUAAUUUGAUGUAUACGUUGGAGGUUCUGAAACUCUCGAAAACGAGUAAUAAGAACCAACCAAGAGAUCGUUCACAAAGACUGUCUCAAAAGUACGGUUUUUGCUAAGAAACAAAUGGUAUGGGGAUACUUGAUUGCAAAGAGUGUGGGUUUGAGUUCAUACAUGGGACAGUAAACACCAUCAAAUAUACAUUUUGCAUAAAUAUUAUUACUACCGACUAAAAAAUUAUGUCCCGAAGGUGCCAUUCUGUCCAUUGUCACACAGCAAAACUUUUAAAAUAAUGAUUCGGUAAUUCUGACAUUAACAUUAUGUCUUGACCAGCAAAUAAACCCGAUUUAAAUAUCAGUGUGACAUUUUGACAAAGAAUGAAAAGUUAUCUUAGAAAUCUUCCUCAGUGGUCAUUGAAACUUUAUAAAAUAAUAGAACAUAGUUGAAACAAUAGAACGUGCCAGCUUUGUUAAAAGUAUGCCAACGGGAAUUCGAGCCGUCAUUAAAGCCAAAGAAGAUGUCACAAAUUAUUAAAAAGUUUUUUUUUGUCAAAACAAUUAGGUACUUGUUAGAUAUUAUUCCUGUUUUUUUUAAUAUUAUAUUAAAUAUCAAGUGCUUUAAACUAGUUUUUAAAUAGGUCAUAAGUCACAAAAUAAACGUACUUCUUCAAUUUUUACUUUUUUUUAAACAUUCAUUAGCUUGACGUGCCUUUUCCUUGCAAAAAUGUGUUCGUCCAAACAUUUAAUUGUUAUUAUAAUAGCUGUCUUUCCUCUAGGGUUGCCAGGUUUUAAACAUUCAAAUGUAUGGCUGCUGCUAAAAAAUAUAUGAGUAGUUAAAAAAGUAUGUGAAGUCCAAAAACAUGUAUGUAACUGGUUGUGUCUUUUUAAAACUGAUUUUUAUUGCUUUUAGCCCCUAUCAGUACUUGAUUGUUUGUACUUAUUUGUACGUAUGUGCAGAAUUCUUUGCUUUAAAAAAUUUAAACGAAAUAAUAACUUCAUUUUUAUUAAAUAAAGCACUUGCUUUAUUU